UACAGAGGGUGCGAGCGUUGUUCGGAAUUAUUGGGCGUAAAGGGCGCGUAGGCGGUGCGGUAAGUCACCUGUGAAAUCUCCUGGCUUAACUGGGAGCCUGCAGGCGAAACUACCGUGCUGGAGUGUGGGAGAGGCGCGUGGAAUUGCAGGUGUAGCGGUGAAAUGCGUAGAUAUCUGCAGGAACACCCGUGGCGAAAGCGGCGCGCUGGACCACUACUGACGCUGAGGAACGAAAGCUAGGGGAGCAAACAGG
rnacentral:rRNA from 1 species